rnacentral:rRNA from 1 species
UACGUAGGGGGCAAGCGUUGUCCGGAUUUAUUGGGCGUAAAGAGCGUGUAGGCGGCCAGGCAGGUCCGUUGUGAAAACUCGAGGCUCAACCUCGAGAUGUCGAUGGAAACCGUCUGGCUAGAGUCCGGAAGAGGAGAGUGGAAUUCCCGGUGUAGCGGUGAAAUGCGCAGAUAUCGGGAAAGAACACCAGUGGCGAAGGCGGCUCACUGGCCCGUUACCGGACGCUCAGGCGCCGACAGCGUGGGGACGCAAACAGGG